rnacentral:rRNA from 1 species
UACGUAGGCAGCAAGCGUUGUUCGGAGUUACUGGGCGUAAAGGGUGCGUAGGCGGCUUUUUAAGUCUGGUGUGAAAUCUCCCGGCUCAACUGGGAGGGUGCGCCGGAUACUGAGGGGCUAGAGUGUGGGAGAGGAAAGUGGAAUUCCUGGUGUAGCGGUGAAAUGCGUAGAUAUCAGGAGGAACACCUGUGGCGAAAGCGGCUCACUGGACCAUACUGACGCUGAUGCACGAAAAGCUAGGGGGAGCAAACAGG